rnacentral:lncRNA from 1 species
GAGGAUCGAAAAUUUUCUUCUUUGGCUGAGCCUCUCUCACAUCUUCUUACAAAACUUCAAGCACACCAGCUUCUUUCCUCCUAUUAUUCUUUUUCUUAGAGGAUGAUGACUCACUAACUUGAUAACUUUUCAUUUUAGGGGUCAGGAUACUUACCAAUCCCCCACGUCGUCCCUGCUCACUAGGUCACUUGGUGCGAUGUUUCCCG